rnacentral:sRNA from 1 species
CAGCCAUGACUAUGACUAAUGUCCAUUAUACUGAAAUGAAGUACUGUUUGGGUUAGCAUUAUUCCAAAAGAAGAUUUUUCGGGAGAUAGAAUGCAGUGGUUGACUCCAGCAUUGAUUCCUAAUGCUGUUGAGUAAACUAAAAGGAUCUUUCUGUUUAUUUUUUUAUUAAAAUAUGAUUGGAAAUGACAAUCUUGUGGUGGAAGUUUCAUGUGCAAUUUUCAAUUUUAUUCUUGUGAUUUUAUUUUCAUGUAUUUGCGUGUGUGUAUUUGUGUGAAAGUAUAAGUGUAAAUGGUCUGAUUUUUGACUUCGUGAGGCAAUGAAUAUUGUUAUACAGUACUGUCAACUUAUUUUGUGUUUUGUGAUAUGUGCAAUUAAUUGUAUUGGUGAUAUGCAUGGCCGAGUCCUUGCUACUGAGAAUAAAUGUAGAAUUGU